rnacentral:rRNA from 1 species
UUAAGCGACUAAGCGUACACGGUGGAUGCCCUGGCAGUCAGAGGCGAUGAAGGACGUGCUAAUCUGCGAUAAGCGUCGGUAAGGUGAUAUGAACCGUUAUAACCGGCGAUUUCCGAAUGGGGAAACCCAGUGUGUUUCGACACACUAUCAUUAACUGAAUCCAUAGGUUAAUGAGGCGAACCGGGGGAACUGAAACAUCUAAGUACCCCGAGGAAAAGAAAUCAACCGAGAUUCCCCCAGUAGCGGCGAGCGAACGGGGAGGAGCCCAGAGUCUGAAUCAGUGUGUGUGUUAGUGGAAGCGUCUGGAAAGGCGCGCGAUACAGGGUGACAGCCCCGUACACAAAAAUGCACAUAUUGUGAGCUCGAUGAGUAGGGCGGGACACGUGGUAUCCUGUCUGAAUAUGGGGGGACCAUCCUCCAAGGCUAAAUACUCCUGACUGACCGAUAGUGAACCAGUACCGUGAGGGAAAGGCGAAAAGAACCCCGGCGAGGGGAGUGAAAAAGAACCUGAAACCGUGUACGUACAAGCAGUGGGAGCCUCUUUUAUGGGGUGACUGCGUACCUUUUGUAUAAUGGGUCAGCGACUUAUAUUCUGUAGCAAGGUUAACCGAAUAGGGGAGCCGAAGGGAAACCGAGUCUUAACUGGGCGUUAAGUUGCAGGGUAUAGACCCGAAACCCGGUGAUCUAGCCAUGGGCAGGUUGAAGGUUGGGUAACACUAACUGGAGGACCGAACCGACUAAUGUUGAAAAAUUAGCGGAUGACUUGUGGCUGGGGGUGAAAGGCCAAUCAAACCGGGAGAUAGCUGGUUCUCCCCGAAAGCUAUUUAGGUAGCGCCUCGUGAAUUCAUCUCCGGGGGUAGAGCACUGUUUCGGCAAGGGGGUCAUCCCGACUUACCAACCCGAUGCAAACUGCGAAUACCGGAGAAUGUUAUCACGGGAGACACACGGCGGGUGCUAACGUCCGUCGUGAAGAGGGAAACAACCCAGACCGCCAGCUAAGGUCCCAAAGUCAUGGUUAAGUGGGAAACGAUGUGGGAAGGCCCAGACAGCCAGGAUGUUGGCUUAGAAGCAGCCAUCAUUUAAAGAAAGCGUAAUAGCUCACUGGUCGAGUCGGCCUGCGCGGAAGAUGUAACGGGGCUAAACCAUGCACCGAAGCUGCGGCAGCGACGCUUAUGCGUUGUUGGGUAGGGGAGCGUUCUGUAAGCCUGUGAAGGUGUGCUGUGAGGCAUGCUGGAGGUAUCAGAAGUGCGAAUGCUGACAUAAGUAACGAUAAAGCGGGUGAAAAGCCCGCUCGCCGGAAGACCAAGGGUUCCUGUCCAACGUUAAUCGGGGCAGGGUGAGUCGACCCCUAAGGCGAGGCCGAAAGGCGUAGUCGAUGGGAAACAGGUUAAUAUUCCUGUACUUGGUGUUACUGCGAAGGGGGGACGGAGAAGGCUAUGUUGGCCGGGCGACGGUUGUCCCGGUUUAAGCGUGUAGGCUGGUUUUCCAGGCAAAUCCGGAAAAUCAAGGCUGAGGCGUGAUGACGAGGCACUACGGUGCUGAAGCAACAAAUGCCCUGCUUCCAGGAAAAGCCUCUAAGCAUCAGGUAACAUCAAAUCGUACCCCAAACCGACACAGGUGGUCAGGUAGAGAAUACCAAGGCGCUUGAGAGAACUCGGGUGAAGGAACUAGGCAAAAUGGUGCCGUAACUUCGGGAGAAGGCACGCUGAUAUGUAGGUGAAGUCCCUUGCGGAUGGAGCUGAAAUCAGUCGAAGAUACCAGCUGGCUGCAACUGUUUAUUAAAAACACAGCACUGUGCAAACACGAAAGUGGACGUAUACGGUGUGACGCCUGCCCGGUGCCGGAAGGUUAAUUGAUGGGGUCAGCGCAAGCGAAGCUCUUGAUCGAAGCCCCGGUAAACGGCGGCCGUAACUAUAACGGUCCUAAGGUAGCGAAAUUCCUUGUCGGGUAAGUUCCGACCUGCACGAAUGGCGUAAUGAUGGCCAGGCUGUCUCCACCCGAGACUCAGUGAAAUUGAACUCGCUGUGAAGAUGCAGUGUACCCGCGGCAAGACGGAAAGACCCCGUGAACCUUUACUAUAGCUUGACACUGAACAUUGAGCCUUGAUGUGUAGGAUAGGUGGGAGGCUUUGAAGUGUGGACGCCAGUCUGCAUGGAGCCGACCUUGAAAUACCACCCUUUAAUGUUUGAUGUUCUAACGUUGACCCGUAAUCCGGGUUGCGGACAGUGUCUGGUGGGUAGUUUGACUGGGGCGGUCUCCUCCUAAAGAGUAACGGAGGAGCACGAAGGUUGGCUAAUCCUGGUCGGACAUCAGGAGGUUAGUGCAAUGGCAUAAGCCAGCUUGACUGCGAGCGUGACGGCGCGAGCAGGUGCGAAAGCAGGUCAUAGUGAUCCGGUGGUUCUGAAUGGAAGGGCCAUCGCUCAACGGAUAAAAGGUACUCCGGGGAUAACAGGCUGAUACCGCCCAAGAGUUCAUAUCGACGGCGGUGUUUGGCACCUCGAUGUCGGCUCAUCACAUCCUGGGGCUGAAGUAGGUCCCAAGGGUAUGGCUGUUCGCCAUUUAAAGUGGUACGCGAGCUGGGUUUAGAACGUCGUGAGACAGUUCGGUCCCUAUCUGCCGUGGGCGCUGGAGAACUGAGGGGGGCUGCUCCUAGUACGAGAGGACCGGAGUGGACGCAUCACUGGUGUUCGGGUUGUCAUGCCAAUGGCACUGCCCGGUAGCUAAAUGCGGAAGAGAUAAGUGCUGAAAGCAUCUAAGCACGAAACUUGCCCCGAGAUGAGUUCUCCCUGACCCUUUAAGGGUCCUGAAGGAACGUUGAAGACGACGACGUUGAUAGGCCGGGUGUGUAAGCGCAGCGAUGCGUUGAGCUAACCGGUACUAAUGAACCGUGAGGCUUAACCUU